GGUGUGGUGGCCAUUAUCACCUUAGUUAAUAUUUUUUUUUAAUUUAUUUGGGAACGCAACGUUUGAAUGCUUUGAAAAAUACUAAGUAUGAUUCAGUAAUCAAUUGCGGCGUUCAAUUUACUGAAGUAGGCUAGUUUUUUUUUUUUUUUUUUUCUUAUACUAAAGAUUUCAACUGCUAUAUAUCGGAUGUUUUUUAGCAUAUGGGUUUGGCUCAAAUAGUACUACAAUAAAAUAGGUAUGGAUGUAUUUAGCUUAAACCCGUUUUGCGGACAAAUUUAUGCGGGUUGGGAAUUUUAGCGGGUUAUGUUUGUGGGUUGGUGGAACGAUUUGCGGACUAUAAAAAUUUGAUUAAAAAGUAAA
rnacentral:lncRNA from 1 species